AUGUGUGUCUUUCAGCUGACAAAGGGAACUGAGGAAGGGCAAAAAGUCAUUCUGCCUAAAUCUUCUUCGGAGCUGUCAAAGAGAGGCAAAUUCUCACAGAUACCAGAAGUAGCAACUGCUUGCUUAAACAACAUUACACAAGAGUUUAAAGAUAUUGACUCUUCAAAAGAUAACACGAUAUCAAAACAGGAGUUCUAGGAUAUUUGUAACCGACAUUUUCAGCAUCUGACUGAAGAACAAGCACUUUCCUCCUCUGCUUGAACUACCUUGACUUGCUUGAACUAUUUGCAGUCCUCAAAAUGGCUACAUUUUGUUGUCUGUUGAAAGUUUCUAACUAUAGGUAACCCAGCUUAUUGGGGUAUUGUUCUAUUUACUUGAAGUUUGUAAUACACUUUGAGAUCCUCACAUGAAGUGUGAAGUGUAAUCACAAGUGCAAAAUAGAAUUGUUUAUAAUUCAUAAUGUGGUACCAGCCAGGCCAAUGGGGGAAAGUUGAAAGGAAAUUCAAAAUGUAUCCUUUGCCCUUUGAAGUUUGACUGUGACUUGGCACAUGCAUCAAAGACGUGACUAGUUUCCUUUAGGGUUUAAGUCUCUGCCGAAAAAGAUCAAAUCAAAAGCAAUCUGAGGUUCCCAAAUAGAUUUAUAUUAAAAAUCAAAAAUGAAGCCCCCAGAAAAAGGAUACUGAUGACUCUUGAAACACUUUCAAAAUGAGUGCAGCUCAUUUAAGGGCAGACUGUUAUAAUCCCUGCUUUGAUUAGCAGCUUUUAUCAUGAGUAGUCCCAUUAAAUUCAGCACAGCUACUUAUGGAAUAAAGAGCUGUUCAGUGGAAAACA
rnacentral:lncRNA from 1 species